rnacentral:lncRNA from 1 species
CGCCACGCGUCUUCUCGCGGGAUUUGCGCGCUGCCCGGGUUCCUGCCACGUGCUCGCGGGCUGCGGGGGUCGCCUGCGCAGACCGGCGUCCGCGGCUGGGGAGCAUGCGGUUUCCCGGCCUUGCAACACCUUCUCCGCUCCCUUCCCUCCGCCCGCUGCAAACCUCCAGGCCAGAGAGCGUCCCGGCCCGAAGUCGGGGCGGGCGUAUCAGGGAGGACGGGGAGCUUCGCACCCCAGGAAUGAGGGCUUCUCCCGCCCUCGGUGACAACGGGCGCGGGAAACUUGCCCCUGGCCGCACGGAGCCGCGCUUUUCAUCUCAGCCAGGUGACAUAUCACCUGCACGCCCCCCCCCCCCACGCGGCUGCUAGUGACUGACAACCCUGGGGGCCAGGGCUCAGCCAAGUGCUCCCGUGCGUGUGGCAGGAGUGGGCAGGGCGCUGUCCCGGACUGGGUCCCUCCCGCGGCCUGGCCUUGGUGCAGUCCCUGGGCCCAGCGUUUGGAGCCUGGUGUCCUGCACCCGACUGGAAGAAGGAGGAUGACCAGGAUCAGCAGAUGUCAUGAGAAUGCUAUGAAAGAGCCGCCGCUUAACCACAGGACAGGCCAGGAAUGGAAAACGGGCUCUCUGAGGGGACUCCUCUAGAGAUGUUAAAAGUGCCUACCCUUUAUUCCUUGGUGUCAAGUGAAUGACAUUUGUCCCAGAUUCAACUGCAUGAAGAAAUGAUGGAUACCGUAGAAGAGUCAAACUAAACCAUUUCAGCUGCCUACGGAUGUCCGAGGCCUUUCCUGUCAUUUGAAACUCCAACCCCCACCCCCUACCAGUGUCUGCAAUAGGAGUUAUCCUCCUAGAUUAGUAGAUGAAAUGCCCUUAACUCUGAAUUUCUGAUAGAAGGUAAAUUAAAGCCCUGGUUUCCUAGGGAGGGGGAAGAGAGGACACAAACAAGGGAAAGAAAGACCUUCCUCCUGAAAGGGAUAUGGAGGGAAUCCAAAAGGUACAGAUCACCCAGGAAUUAUAAAAUGUAGAUUUCCCAGCUCUCCACUCCCCAAACCUGGGCAGGUUGAUUUCCUCCCCUUGUGGGGUUGUCCCAGAGGCUGCAUGAAUCUACAGAAUGGUCACAGCCAUCUAUGGGCACAUUCACAGACCUAUGAACAGGAAUCCUGGCACUUCCCACUGGCCUACUUCCCUCUGGGCAGCUGUGUCACCACGGAGUAACAUUUCAAAACUCAAUUUCUUCAGGAUGUAUCAGAACCAUUGGUUUCCUUUCACAGGAAGAAAGUAAAGGAAAACUUAAAUUCAUCUGGGCAUCUGGUUGCCACCAGCACCCCCUAGUGUUUGCUCAGGGGUCACACUGCUGAGAUACCUGAAAAAAUCACCUGAUGUGAUUCCAUGAAGAGAGAGGAAAUGACUCUCCCUGCAGAGUGACCUUGUGAUCCCCCAAUAAAGACAUGGAAGAGCUGGCAAGCACUGGGGCAUACGUCAUCUAUUCCAACCAGGUGGAGGGCCCAUGUGCCCAAGAAGCCUUUUAUCUCUUGCUGUGGGCCACCGUUCUGUUUCCUCCCAUCCUUAUCCCAAGGGCAUGGCACACAGCAGGUACUCACUGUGCACUAAGCUGAGUACAUCAGCAUUCAUAGCUGGGGAGCUGAGAGAGAACCUAACACCAGAAGAGCAGGCCGUUACGUUAUGUGCUGUCUACCUGGUAGCAGCUCUUCCCACCCUCCAGAAGGCCAUUCCAUUCCUUAUUUCUGCCAGAUCUGAAUGGUCACAUCAGAGAACCAGACAUGUUUUCAAGACACAGGAAGUAACUCUUCGUAUUUGCGUGGAACUUUACAGUCUACAGAGCACUUUCACAUACUUUCCUUUAAGAAGGUCAUCUUUCUAACCCCCAGGUUAGAGAUCACGUUCCUGAAGCACAGUGUCACAGGAUGAAUCAUGCCACCUUAAAAUUUGUGGAUUGAAGUCCUACGCCCCAGCACUUUGAAAUGUGACUGUUUUGGAGACAGGGUCUUUAAAAGGUCAUGAAAGUUAAAUGAGAUUUCAUGGGGGCCCUGAUCCAACACGACUAGUAUCAUUCUUAGAGAAGAGGACACACACAGACAACCAUGUGAAGACACAGGGAGAAGAUGGCCAUCUACAAACCAACCAAAGAGGCCUCAGAAGAGACCAAGCCUACUGACGCCUUGAUCUGAGCCUUCCCAGCCUCCAGGACUUGAAGCAAUAGUGUCUGCUGUUCAGCCGCCAGUCUAUGGUGUGUAUUACAGCAGCUCUGGCACACACACGCCCAGGGCAAGCAGGCAGCCAGUGAGCAGGAAAGGCAGGAUGACACCAGAGUAACUGAUGGCUGGCACCAAGUUCUUUCCCCUCCCAGUCAGGAGGCAUCUGUACAUGAACUAGGAACAGGCAUCCCUUCCUCGAGAUACACUUUGUUGUGUGCCAGAGAGCAGACCUAGGCUGCCUCUCAGCAAAAGGGUACACCCGGAGUUGCUCAGUGCGUGACACAUACCGCUAUGGCCUGGAGUGGAAAGCACACACAGACACCCUCCAAGGGAGAGGAAGGCACAUUCCACGGAUCAGGCUGAGGUUCCCCAAGCACCAGCCAGAAUCUACUCUGAAUGUGGAGUAAGAAAAAUCAGGGAUCCCAGAUGUCUGAGCAGCCCCCACGCCAUAGGGCAUCCAGCUUCCCCGGCCACCUUCAGAGGCGCUCAUCGCGCAGUCUCUGGUGCUUACCAGCGCCCUGGCUGGGAGGCAACCCCUGCUUUCUUGUGAUAUUGUCCAUAUUGUAAGGACAGUUGCCCUUCAGUACCAUGGGGAUUAGGACACCCCUCCCCUGCUGGCAGGAUGCUGGUCCCUACAUGAGAGGACGUGGCAUUUACAUGUGACCACCCCAGACUAUCUCCAGGCACCUCUGGGUUGCUUAUAUCUAACGUUUAAUGCUGUGUAAGUAGUUGUCAUACCGUAUUACUUAGGGAUAAUGACAAGAAAAUAAAAAGAGGAUGGCCAAGCUGUUUUGUUUUUGUUUUUCAAAUAUCCUUCAUCUGGAGACAGUUGCAUCUGGAGAUGAGGAACUGCAGAUAGGAAUAGGGAGGGCCAACUGCACCUGGAAAUGCACACGUAACAUGUUAGGCGUCCUUUUUGCCUAAAUCUGAGGUUUUGAUUUAAUGUUGGUUUGGGUCAGCUGGUUCAAAUAUUCUGUAUCACAUUCUUAUUAGGUCACCUAUUUCUGAAGGAGUGGUUUUUGAAACAUGCCUGGUGGGGGUCAGGGUGACAGGGAGUAGUCAGAGUUUGUGUGGCCAUUGUCCUAGCAUCAGCCGCUGGUUCAGAAAAACAUCUGUCACAAAUACCUUCUGUUUUCUCAGAUGGUUAAAGCACACAAUAAAGGACUUUUAGGAAGUGCAG